AAUCUGCCUUGUUGUGGGGGAUAACGUAGGGAAACUUACGCUAAUACCGCAUAAGACCUCAGGGUGAAAGCGGAGGACCUUCGGGCUUCGCGCGACAAGAUGAGCCGAUGUCGGAUUAGCUAGUUGGCGGGGUAAAAGCCCACCAAGGCGACGAUCCGUAGCUGGUCUGAGAGGAUGAUCAGCCACACUGGAACUGAGACACGGUCCAGACUCCUACGGGAGGCAGCAGUGGGGAAUAUUGGACAAUGGGCGCAAGCCUGAUCCAGCCAUGCCGCGUGUGU
rnacentral:rRNA from 1 species